GACGAACGCUGGCGGCGUGCUUAACACAUGCAAGUCGAACGGAAAGGCCCUGCUUUUGUGGGGUGCUCGAGUGGCGAACGGGUGAGUAACACGUGAGUAACCUGCCCUUGACUUUGGGAUAACUUCAGGAAACUGGGGCUAUACCGGAUAGGAGCUCCUGCUGCCUGGUGGGGGUUGGAAAGUUUCGGCGGUUGGGGAUGGACUCGCGGCUUAUCAGCUUGUUGGUGGGGUAGUGGCUUACCAAGGCUUUGACGGGUAGCCGGCCUGAGAGGGUGACCGGCCACAUUGGGACUGAGAUACGGCCCAGACUCCUACGGGAGGCAGCAGUGGGGAAUAUUGCACAAUGGGCGGAAGCCUGAUGCAGCAACGCCGCGUGCGGGAUGACGGCCUUCGGGUUGUAAACCGCUUUCGCCUGUGACGAAGCGUGAGUGACGGUAAUGGGUAAAGAAGCACCGGCUAACUACGUG
rnacentral:rRNA from 1 species